GUUUCCGUAGUUAAAUUUGAUAACAACGGCUUUUCAGGCCGUGAAUCUUGGAGAAAAGCCGAGCGGGAAUU
rnacentral:tRNA from 1 species